AUUUAUAUAGUUUAAAAUAAAACAUUACAUUUUCAUUGUAAAAUUAAAAUUUUUUAUAAAUUA
rnacentral:tRNA from 1 species